rnacentral:rRNA from 1 species
UGCCUAAUACAUUGCAAGUGGGAUCGCAAAGGGAACACACUGUGCUUGCACACCGUGUUUUCUUGAGUCGCGAACGGGUGAGUAACGCGUAGGUAACCUGCCUAUUAGCGGGGGAUAACUAUUGGAAACGAUAGCUAAUACCGCAUAAUAUUGAUUAUUGCAUGAUAAUUGAUUGAAAGAUGCAAGCGCAUCGCUAGUAGAUGGACCUGCGUUGUAUUAGCUAGUUGGUAAGGUAAGAGCUUACCAAGGCGACGAUACAUAGCCGACCUGAGAGGGUGAUCGGCCACACUGGGACUGAGACACGGCCCAGACUCCUACGGGAGGCAGCAGUAGGGAAUCUUCGGCAAUGGACGAAAGUCUGACCGAGCAACGCCGCGUGAGUGAAGAAGGUUUUCGGAUCGUAAAGCUCUGUUGUAAGUCAAGAACGUGUGUGAGAGUGGAA